CACGUAGGCACCAAGCGUUGUCCGGAAUUACUGGGCGUAAAGCGUGCGCAGGCGGUUAUGUAAGACAGAUGUGAAAUCCCCGGGCUCAACCUGGGAACUGCAUUUGUGACUGCAUAGCUAGAGUACGGUAGAGGGGGAUGGAAUUCCGCGUGUAGCAGUGAAAUGCGUAGAUAUCUGGAGGAACACCGGUGGCGAAGGCGACAUCCUGGACCGGUAUUGACGCUGAGGCGCGAAAGCCAGGGGAGCAAACGGG
rnacentral:rRNA from 1 species